rnacentral:tRNA from 1 species
GUCACGAUCAGUCUAAGGUUGAAAUCUGGAUGGUCGCCAGACGCGCUGGUUCGAGUCCAGCUCGUGACA